ACGCACCCUAACAAAUUAAGAGUUUAAAAACAGAGUUAAUUUCAUGCAGAUCCCUGUAAAUAUAGUGAAUGACAAAAAUAUUUAUAUAAAGAUUAAUUUUUAUAUGUUGUUAUUAUAAAAGUUCUAUAUGUCAAUUUGAUUUAUUAUUGUUAGAAAACUAUUUAUAUUUUUAAUUUUGCAAUCACAAAUAUAUUCUUCCAAAAAUUAUAAUAGUAUAAUAUAAGAUGGGUAAAAAUAUCAAAAAUUAACUAUGGUUAAAUAUUGAAUCUAUAAUUAACUAAAUUUUUCUAACGAUAGAAAUAUAUUUAAAAAUAUUAAAAAUUUUGUAAGAAGAAUAUAUAAAAAUUAAACUUUAUAUAAAUAUAUUUGUUAUUUAUUAUGUUAGUCGAAACACCUAUAAAUUAAUUUUUAAAAAAUUAUUAAU
rnacentral:lncRNA from 1 species